GGGAGCCGGGCCCAGGGCAGAAGGGGCAGGCGAGGGAGAGCCUGGAGCUCCCGGCGGUGUUCGAGGCCGUGGCAGUGUAUUUCACGCGGGAGGAGUGGGAGCUGCUGGACGACGAAGGCAAGGAGCUUUACCGGGACCAGAUGCUGAGGAAUUACCAAGCCCUCGUUUCCCUGGGAUAUCGAGGUCCCACCCCUGACUUAAUCUGCCGUCUCCAGCGAG